UACGGGGGGGGCAAGCGUUGUUCGGAAUUACUGGGCGUAAAGGGCUCGUAGGCGGCCAACUAAGUCAGACGUGAAAUCCCUCGGCUUAACCGGGGAACUGCAUCUGAUACUGGAUGGCUUGAGUUCGGGAGAGGGAUGCGGAAUUCCCGGUGUAGCGGUGAAAUGCGCAGAUAUCGGGAGGAACACCAGUAGCGAAGGCGGUUCUCUGGGCCGGUACUGACGCUGAGGAGCGAAAGCGUGGGGAGCAAACAGG
rnacentral:rRNA from 1 species